rnacentral:rRNA from 1 species
CCCCCUGGGGGCAGCCCUACCAUGCAAGUCGAGCGGAACGAGUUAUCUGAACCUUCGGGGGACGAUAACGGCGUCGAGCGGCGGACGGGUGAGUAAUGCCUAGGAAAUUGCCCUGAUGUGGGGGAUAACCAUUGGAAACGAUGGCUAAUACCGCAUGAUGCCUACGGGCCAAAGAGGGGGACCUUCGGGCCUCUCGCGUCAGGAUAUGCCUAGGUGGGAUUAGCUAGUUGGUGAGGUAAGGGCUCACCAAGGCGACGAUCCCUAGCUGGUCUGAGAGGAUGAUCAGCCACACUGGAACUGAGACACGGUCCAGACUCCUACGGGAGGCAGCAGUGGGGAAUAUUGCACAAUGGGCGCAAGCCUGAUGCAGCCAUGCCGCGUGUAUGAAGAAGGCCUUCGGGUUGUAAAGUACUUUCAGCCGUGAGGAAGGUGGGUGUGUUAAUAGCACAUUCAUUUGACGUUAGCUGCAGAAGAAGCACCGGCUAACUCCGUGCCAGCAGCCGCGGUAAUACGGAGGGUGCGAGCGUUAAUCGGAAUUACUGGGCGUAAAGCGCAUGCAGGUGGUUUGUUAAGUCAGAUGUGAAAGCCCGGGGCUCAACCUCGGAAUAGCAUUUGAAACUGGCAGACUAGAGUACUGUAGAGGGGGGUAGAAUUUCAGGUGUAGCGGUGAAAUGCGUAGAGAUCUGAAGGAAUACCGGUGGCGAAGGCGGCCCCCUGGACAGAUACUGACACUCAGAUGCGAAAGCGUGGGGAGCAAACAGGAUUAGAUACCCUGGUAGUCCACGCCGUAAACGAUGUCUACUUGGAGGUUGUGGCCUUGAGCCGUGGCUUUCGGAGCUAACGCGUUAAGUAGACCGCCUGGGGAGUACGGUCGCAAGAUUAAAACUCAAAUGAAUUGACGGGGGCCCGCACAAGCGGUGGAGCAUGUGGUUUAAUUCGAUGCAACGCGAAGAACCCUUACCUACUCUUGACAUCCAGAGAACUUUCCAGAGAUGGAUUGGUUGCCUUCGGGAACUCUGAGACAGGUGCUGCAUGGACUGUCGUCAG